rnacentral:rRNA from 1 species
UACGGAGGGUGCAAGCGUUAAUCGGAAUUACUGGGCGUAAAGCGCGCGUAGGCGGUUUGGUAAGUGUGAUGUGAAAGCCCAGGGCUUAACCUUGGAACUGCAUCACAUACUGCCAGGCUAGAGUACGGUAGAGGGGGGUAGAAUUCCACGUGUAGCGGUGAAAUGCGUAGAGAUGUGGAGGAAUACCAGUGGCGAAGGCGGCCCCCUGGAUCGAUACUGACGCUGAGGUGCGAAAGCGUGGGGAGCAAACAGG